CAGUAGCCGCGGUAAUACGAAGGGGGCUAGCGUUGCUCGGAAUGACUGGGCGUAAAGGGCGCGUAGGCGGCGAUCAAAGUCAGGCGUGAAAUUCCUGGGCUCAACCUGGGGGCUGCGCUUGAUACUGGGUUGCUUGAGUGGGGAAGAGGGUCGUGGAAUUCCCAGUGUAGAGGUGAAAUUCGUAGAUAUUGGGAAGAACACCGGUGGCGAAGGCGGCGACCUGGUCCUUUACUGACGCUGAGGCGCGAAAGCGUGGGGAGCAAACAGGAUUAGAUACCCGUGUAGUCCCUGUCUCUUAUAC
rnacentral:rRNA from 1 species